rnacentral:lncRNA from 1 species
CACGCCUGGUACUAGUCAGCAUGCCUAUGAUGUUAUGCACCAAAACAGUACGCCUGGUACUAGUCAGCAUGCCUAUGAUGUUAUGCACCAAAACAGUACGCCUGGUACUAGUCAGCAUGCCUAUGAUGUUAUGCACCAAAACAGUACGCCUGGUACUAGUCAGCAUGCCUAUGAUGUUAUGCACCAAAACAGUACGCCUGGUACUAGUCAGCAUGCCUAUGAUGUUAUGCACCAAAACAGCAGUGGGGGGGUAGAUUCUCGGAGGGCCUAAUUUUCCUUUUUUAAAUUGUUUUAUUCAUCACAUCUGGACCACAAUAAUGCAUUAUAUAAAAAAGACCAAGUCUCUAGUGUUGGAUGAGAACACGGUGCGUGUUCUAGUUGGGCAUCUACAGGACUUGCUAUUAGAGCAGUCUUUUUUAAUAGAGGUAACCUGACUUUGCAAGCUUGGUUAGAUAAGCAAAAUGCCUGAACAUGCGCAGACACACAACCAGAAGCAAAAUGCCUGAACGCGCGUGCGCACACACAACCAGAAGAAAAAUGCCUAAGCGUGCGCGCACACACAACCAGAAGCAAAAUGCCUGAGUGCGCGCGUACAACCAGAAACAAAAUGACUGAACGCGCACGCACGCACACACACACACACAACAAGAAGCAAAAUGCCUGAACACGAGUGCACACACAACCAGAAGCAAAAUGUCUGAAUGCGCACACAACCAGACGCAAAAUGCCUGAACGCACGCACACAAAUACAACCAAACGCAAAAUGCCUGAACACACACGUACACAGAAGCAAAAGGCCUGAACGCGACCGCACACACACAACCAGAAGCAAAAUGCCUGAACGUGCGCACACACAACCAGAAGCAAAAUGCUUGAACGUGCGCACACACACACACACACACACUGUCACGACUUCGACCAAAGGUGGCUCCUCUCCCUGCUCGGCGGUCGCCGUCGCCGGCCUACUAGCUGCCACUGAUCCCAUUUUCCUUUUCAUUUAGUUCUGUCUGGUUUUACACACCUGUGUCUUGUUUUUCUGAUUUCGGUGGGUUUAUAUUUCCCCGCUACAGGUUAGGCUGUGUGCGGGAUUAUUUUGCUGUUGGCUGCAUGUAAGGGGUGCGUGCCUGCACCACGGGCGUUGUUUGUCUUUUGUACUGUAUGUGUUUACCGUGGACAUAUUUGCUUGUAGCUAGCGGAGUUGAAGUUUCUCCC